AAGGAAUAUUGGUCAAUGGACGCAAGUCUGAACCAGCCAUGCCGCGUGAAGGAUGAAGGUCCUCUGGAUUGUAAACUUCUUUUAUCUGGGACGAAAACGGGAUUUUUAUCUCAAUUGACGGUACCAGAGGAAUACGCACCGGCUAACUCCGUGCCAGCAGCCGCGGUAAUACGGAGGGUGCGAGCGUUAUCAGGAUUUACUGGGUUUAAAGGGUGCGUAGGUGGGCUUAUAAGUCAGUGGUGAAAUCUCCGAGCUUAACUUGGAAACUGCCGUUGAUACUAUAGGUCUUGAAUUAUCUGGAGGUAAGCGGAAUAUGUCAUGUAGCGGUGAAAUGCUUAGAUAUGACAUAGAACACCAAUUGCGAAGGCAGCUUACUACAUAUAAAUUGACGCUGAGGCACGAAAGCGUGGGGAUCAAACA
rnacentral:rRNA from 1 species